GAUGAACGCUGGCGGCGUGCCUAAUACAUGCAAGUCGAGCGAACAGACGAGGAGCUUGCUCCUCUGACGUUAGCGGCGGACGGGUGAGUAACACGUGGAUAACCUACCUAUAAGACUGGGAUAACUUCGGGAAACCGGAGCUAAUACCGGAUAAUAUAUUGAACCGCAUGGUUCAAUAGUGAAAGACGGUUUUGCUGUCACUUAUAGAUGGAUCCGCGCCGCAUUAGCUAGUUGGUAAGGUAACGGCUUACCAAGGCAACGAUGCGUAGCCGACCUGAGAGGGUGAUCGGCCACACUGGAACUGAGACACAGUCCAGACUCCUACGGGAGGCAGCAGUAGGGAAUCUUCCGCAAUGGGCGAAAGCCUGACGGAGCAACGCCGCGUGAGUGAUGAAGGUCUUCGGAUCGUAAAACUCUGUUAUUAGGGAAGAACAAAUGUGUAAGUAACUAUGCACGCCUUGACGGUACCUAAUCAGAAAGCCACGGCUAACUACGUG
rnacentral:rRNA from 1 species